rnacentral:rRNA from 1 species
GUCUGUGUGAAGUUAUAUAGAGUCUGGCCUGCCCAUUGAAAUAAAUUUAAAAGGCCGCGGUAUAUUAACUGUGCAAAGGUAGCAUAAUCAUUAGCUUUUUAAUUGAAGGCUUGUAUGAAGGGUCUGACAAAGAAAAGGCUGUCUUUAAUUUUAUUUUUGAAUUUAACUUUUAAGUGAAAAGGCUUAAAUAUAUUUAAGGGACGAUAAGACCCUAUAAAUCUUUAUAUUAAAUUAUGUUUUUGGAGUUUAAUGAGAUUGUCUAGAUUUCAAAUAAAAUAAUAAAUAUUUUGUUGGGGUGAUGAGAAUAUAAAAUUAACUGUUCUUAAAAAAAACAAAGUUGUUUGUUUACUAAUAAUAGAUCCUUUUUUGAAGAUUAAGAGUUUAAGUUACUUUAGGGAUAACAGCGUUAUUUUUUUUGAGAGUUCUUAUCGAAAAAAAAGUUUGCGACCUCGAUGUUGAAUUAAAAAUUCUUUACGGUGUAGAAGUUGUAAAAGAGAGUCUGUUCGACUUUU